rnacentral:rRNA from 1 species
ACUCCUACGGGAGGCAGCAGUGGGGAAUAUUGCACAAUGGGCGGAAGCCUGAUGCAGCAACGCCGCGUGCGGGAUGACGGCCUUCGGGUUGUAAACCGCUUUCGCCUGUGACGAAGCGUGAGUGACGGUAAUGGGUAAAGAAGCACCGGCUAACUACGUGCCAGCAGCCGCGGUGAUACGUAGGGUGCGAGCGUUAAUCGGAAUUACUGGGCGUAAAGCGCAUGCAGGUGGUUUGUUAAGUCAGAUGUGAAAGCCCGGGGCUCAACCUCGGAAUUGCAUUUGAAACUGGCAGACUAGAGUACUGUAGAGGGGGUAGAAUUUCAGGUGUAGCGGUGAAAGUGCGUAGAGAUCUGAAGGAAUACCGGUGGCGAAGGCGGGCCCCCUGGACAGAUACUGACACUCAGAUGCGAAAGCGUGGGGAGCAAACAGGAUUAGAUACCCUGGUAGCUACGAG